AAAACGACUCUCGGCAACGGAUAUCUCGGCUCUCGCAUCGAUGAAGAACGUAGCAAAAUGCGAUACUUGGUGUGAAUUGCAGAAUCCCGUGAACCAUCGAGUUUUUGAACGCAAGUUGCGCCCGAAGCCAUUAGGUUGAGGGCACGUCUGCCUGGGCGUCUCGC
rnacentral:rRNA from 2 species